UUCUUUCUUGCCUAACAGAAUAGCAGAGAUUAUGCAACCCAGCAUUUCACAUAGAGCAGCUUUAGGGGAACAAAGCAACAAGGAUUCAACAAGGGCCUGCCUUUUUCUAGAUGCCGAGAAUCCUCCAGCAAGCAGUCCCAGGCGUGCCUAAGAGCCAUCAGAGAGGCUCAUCCCAGCUGAGGUCAAAAGCUGACUUGACAACUACAGUACUCACAUCUCCUCUACCAGGUCAUCAUGAGCUCUUUUUGAAGACAGAAUCACCAAGUGGACUGACCUGAAACUCAACAAUCUUCUUGCAUCAGCCUCCAGAAGAACUGGGAUUAUAGGCAGAAGUCUGUUCAUAAAAAAAGAAGGAGA
rnacentral:lncRNA from 1 species